AUACGGAGGGUGCAAGCGUUAUCCGGAUUUAUUGGGUUUAAAGGGUGCGCAGGCGGACCUGUCAGUCAGUGGAGAAAUCCCGGGGCUCAACCCCGGAACUGCCAUUGAUACUACAGGUCUUGAAUACGGUUGAAGUAGGCGGAAUGUAGCAUGUAGCGGUGAAAUGCAUAGAUAUGCUACAGAACACCGAUCGCGAAGGCAGCUUACUAAGCCGAUAUUGACGCUCAGGCACGAAAGCGUGGGGAGCGAACAGGAUUAGAAACCCGGGUAGUCC
rnacentral:rRNA from 1 species